rnacentral:rRNA from 1 species
UAAACGGGAGCUUACACAUGCAGUCGAACGGCAGCACGGACUUCGGUCUGGUGGCGAGUGGCGAACGGGUGAGUAAUGUAUCGGAACGUGCCCAGUAGCGGGGGAUAACUACGCGAAAGCGUAGCUAAUACCGCAUACGCCCUACGGGGGAAAGCAGGGGAUCGCAAGACCUUGCACUAUUGGAGCGGCCGAUAUCGGAUUAGCUAGUUGGUGGGGUAACGGCUCACCAAGGCGACGAUCCGUAGCUGGUUUGAGAGGACGACCAGCCACACUGGGACUGAGACACGGCCCAGACUCCUACGGGAGGCAGCAGUGGGGAAUUUUGGACAAUGGGGGAAACCCUGAUCCAGCCAUCCCGCGUGUGCGAUGAAGGCCUUCGGGUUGUAAAGCACUUUUGGCAGGAAAGAAACGUCGCGGGUUAAUACCCCGCGAAACUGACGGUACCUGCAGAAUAAGCACCGGCUAACUACGUGCCAGCAGCCGCCGGUAAUA